rnacentral:lncRNA from 1 species
CAAGCCUUUCAUCUCAAGGAGAAAUCGAGUCAGAGCAAGACGGCUCAGAGCCACUAAAAGGGAAUACAGAACCCUGUAGAGCCCACCCUCCUGCCUCCCAGGUUGUGAAUUUUCUAACCCCAUGGGGAAUCAGGAGGACCCAGCACCUGGGAUGUUCAGCACAGCAGGGGCAGUUCCAGCACUCUCUGCAGCUCAAGCAGCUGGGCUGCCUAGCUGGUGCCCAGGCCCUGCCAAGGGGACCCAUGAUACCCAGUCCCACUAGCAGCAUCAGCAGCUUAGCUACCCCGAGAACUGGGACCAGAAGAGGCAUGUUGAAAGGAGACUCUUUUGAUGACCCAGGCGUCCUCCACCCCAACCCCUCCCCACUCCAAGCUGCUGGGUGUGCAAGCCCAGGGAUACUGCUACCUCCACCUUGGUGACCCCCCAGCUCCUGAACCCACAGACAUUGCGAGACACAGUGCGCGCAGGCCCUGCCACUUGGGAACUCAGACCCUAGCAAAAGCCUCCAAAGAAAACAAUGUUCUGUCUUGGCCUCUGACUCCCCUGAAAAUCUGGGGGGCUAAUGGGAGGGACUUUUAACCCCCUUAGUCAUCCUAGGAAGCCAAGCUGAAUAGCAGUGACUGAUAGUCACCCGACCACAAGCCAAUUUUGCGGUUUCAGUUGUUUUCAGAAGGAGCAGCAAAGCAGUGGCAGGAGGCCCUGGGCAGAGGAGUGGGCUGACUCCCGGACCCCAGCCCCUGCCCAGAGCACUCUGCCCUAGCACGACCCAGCCCAAGGCUCAGCAAGACCCAGAACUGCACCCACUUUACAGAUUCACACAGACAGGGUUUGCAACAACCAGAAACAGCCUUCUGUAUCCCCUCCAUGUACCCCUGGCUACUUUACUGGCAAGGCUGGCUGCUUUCUGCAUCCACGAUGAGCCCUUUUGCUUUGCUUUUCUCUUUUGUUUUCCUUCAUUUCCCCUCCUUUCUUCUUUCAUAUCAUUUCACUUCCUUUCUCUUUCCCUCUUUCAUUUUUCUUUCCUUCCCUCUUUUCUUCCUUUCCUUUCUCUUCCUUCCUUAUUCCCUCCUCUCUCUCUCCUUCUCUCUCUGCCCCUGCCCCAUUACAUGUGUGCCUGGCAGGAAUAAUCUAGGAGUCACAACCAAGAGCAGAGGCCCCUGAGUCCCCCAGGUAUACUCCCGAACCACAUCUGUCACCUCCCUCAUGAGCUACAGGGAAAGAGAUCAAGAUUAGCUCUAAGGGAAGCUUCCUGCUGAGUGGAGUUUGGAGUAAUCUCAGAAAUAUAGAAUGCCAAAAUGUCAGAGCCGUGAUGGAAAUUAAACCACCUAGUCCACUGAGGAACAGAAGCACUGAGAAACCGCACAGUGUUCACAGAGUGCGGCUAGAACCAGAGGUGCUCACUCUCAGAACAGGCUCUAAACGGCUUCCUUCGCUACCCUGCAAGCUGAGAAUUCCCUCCCCUUCUCACAAUUUUCAGUGUAAACCAGACCCCUUGUCCUCAUGACCAGACAGAAGAAGAAAGUAAAGAGGAAUGGACUUGGCUCAAGGAUGUGGAUACAGGCACAACCAUUUGCCAGUCUGGGAAGGAGUGGAGUGUCCAGUGCGUUCACAGCUCUCUCACUGUCUCUCACGACCUGGUUUCCCUGCCAGGCCCUUCUGCUCUGCCUCCACCUCGCCCUGCCAGGUGCCAGGACCUCUUGGCCAGAGAGGGGGCCUGCUCUCCAUGGCCCAUCAUUUCCCACUUCCAAGCCGUGACUGUCACACCAUUCCCUCCCCUCUUUGGGACAGAAGUAAAUUCAAUCCACAC